GAUAUUCCCGUACCCGUGUAUCCGCGCCCAAUGAUGAAUCAUCUGUACUAACCACCCAAAAGCCGUCUUUCCUUCCUUCGGGUUGGUCUGGUGGUGGCUGCGUGGGACCUUGGGUGUAGUAGUCAAGCGAUGGGGUGACGCAGGAAGGUAGCAGGGCCAAGUGAUGGAUGUCUUGGUGUAAGCCUGUAGGGCGGGGUGUAGGUAAAUCCGUACCCCAUACAGCCUGAGAGGUGAUGCGUAGCCGUUGAGGUGAAUUCUGUGAUCCUAUGCUGCCGAGAAAAGCCUCUAGUGAGUUGGUACACGGCCCGUACCCCAAACCGACACAGGUGGUCAGGUAGAGAAUACUAAGGCGAUCGAGAGAACUGUGGUUAAGGAACUCGGCAAAUUGCCCCCGUAACUUCGGGAGAAGGGGGACCAUUUCUGGUGACGACUUUUUCGGUCUGAGCUGGGGGUGGUCGCAGAGACCAGAGAGAAGCGACUGUUUACUAAAAACACAGGUCCGUGCGAAGUCGUAAGACGAUGUAUACGGACUGACGCCUGCCCGGUGCUGGAAGGUUAAGAGGACCGGUUAGUCAACUUUGUUGGCGAAGCUGAGAAUUUAAGCCCCAGUAAACGGCGGUGGUAACUAUAACCAUCCUAAGGUAGCGAAAUUCCUUGUCGGGUAAGUUCCGACCUGCACGAAUGGCGUAACGACUUCUCUGCUGUCUCAACCACAGACUCGGCGAAAUUGCAGUACGAGUAAAGAUGCUCGUUACGCGCGGCAGGACGAAAAGACCCCGGGACCUUCACUAUAGCUUGGUAUUGGUGUUCGGUACGGUUUGUGUAGGAUAGGUGGGAGACUGUGAAGUGGGCACGCUAGUGUUCGUGGAGUCGUUGUUGAAAUACCACUCUGAUCGUAUUGGGCUUCUAACCUCGGACCCUGAUCGGGUUCAGGGACAGUGCCUGGUGGGUAGUUUAACUGGGGCGGUUGCCUCCUAAAAUGUAACGGAGGCGCCCAAAGGUUCCCUCAGCCUGGAUGGCAAUCAGGUGUUGAGUGUAAGUGCACAAGGGAGCUUGACUGUGAGACGUACAUGUCGAGCAGGGACGAAAGUCGGGACUAGUGAUCCGGCACCGGCAAGUGGAAGCGGUGUCGCUCAACGGAUAAAAGGUACCCCGGGGAUAACAGGCUGAUCUUCCCCAAGAGUCCAUAUCGACGGGAUGGUUUGGCACCUCGAUGUCGGCUCGUCGCAUCCUGGGGCUGGAGUAGGUCCCAAGGGUUGGGCUGUUCGCCCAUUAAAGUGGCACGCGAGCUGGGUUUAGAACGUCGUGAGACAGUUCGGUCUCUAUCCGCCGCGCGCGUCUAGAAACUUGAGGAAACCUGUCCCUAGUACGAGAGGACCGGGACGGACGAACCUCUGGUGUGCCAGUUGUUCCGCCAGGAGCACUGCUGGUUAGCUACGUUCGGAAGGGAUAACCGCUGAAAGCAUCUAAGCGGGAAGCCUGUUCCAAGAUGAGGUUUCUCACCCACCCUUGUGGUGGGGUAAGGCCCCCUACAGACCAUGGGGUUGAUAGGCCAGAACUGUAAGCACAGUAAUGUGUUCAGGUGACUGGUACUAA
rnacentral:rRNA from 1 species